rnacentral:lncRNA from 1 species
AUGGCUUCUUCAAGGACUUUAUCUCCCUCUUGGAUCUAUCGACCCCUAUGGGCUGCAGCGACUAACCCUAAACACGAUUUUUCGUGUCCCCUUCAGAAGAUGUGUAGAGCUCUUGCUCAGGUGCUUGCACCACCUCCUUCCAUUCUUGGGUUGUUACCACCUCCUUCCUUGCUUAGGAUGUUGGUUUCUUUGGCUUUGGGAAGUAUUUUCCCAGGUUUGUUCUUGGUUGGUUGUUGUUUCCCUCUUGGUGCUUCAGUGGUUUCAUUUUUGUAA